UGAUUUUAUUUGUCCAGGUGUUCUCAUAGAGACAAAAGCGAAGGUAAAGUUGAUCAAUUCACUCGUGUUCAAUUCUCCAUUGACUACCUCAACAAAGGAAGCUAUAUGGUGUACAUCUCCAAUAAAAAUUCUCAUUCUCUUUCAUUUCAAAUUUCGAGGGAAGAUUUAUUUGAAGUGGGGGAGAAUGGUGCUGGAGUUGUUUUG
rnacentral:misc_RNA from 1 species